AAAAAGUUAAAAAAAAAAUUGAAUUUUUCAUUGCAUUCUCUCCCCAUAAACAUCCCUCCUUAUUCUUAAAUAUGCCUACAUGACAUUUUUAUGAAUAAAAUAUAUGCUACUGCAACAAUUUGGGAUUCAUGGCAUGUGCCAUUCCUUGUUUGGGUUAUAAUUGACACCAAAAUGAAAAGUUCUGUAUUUAGUUGACAAAAAUUAAAAGAAUUGGUUAUAAUUGACACCAAAAUGAAAAGUUCUGUAUUUAGUUGACAAAAAUUAAAAGAAUU
rnacentral:misc_RNA from 1 species